rnacentral:lncRNA from 1 species
AUCGAGAUUUUUUGAAAAAUAACUACAAACCUGGAAGGACCUUGAGAAGAAAGCUUGCUGAGAAUGAGGAGGUUAACGCACCGUCGUUGAGGAGGUGGAUUGAAGAGGGGAAGUGUGCAAUGAAGGCGUUCAUGUGGCGGAUUGAAGAGGCGUAGGCGUGCGCGGAGAGGCGAAGUGGUGAACAAAUGAGAAAACGCGUGCGCACGGAGUGAAAAGGGGAAAGUUUGGGUUUGCUGUGGAGGAAAAUAAAAAUUAAGGAAAAGAAAAAAAAAUAAAGGCGGUUUUAAAAAACACCGCUAGAUAUGUCUCUAGGUUCCCAAUUUCUUUUUUGUAG